rnacentral:sRNA from 1 species
AACCUAACCCGUCAGUAAUGGUGGCAUGGUUGCGGAGCCAGGUAAUGCGUGAAGAACCCGUCAUGGGGUCGCAUUACCUGCCGUAUUGGGAAACUGAUACGUACGCGCAAGCGUA